rnacentral:rRNA from 1 species
UACGAAGGGGGCUAGCGUUGUUCGGAAUCACUGGGCGUAAAGGGCGCGUAGGCGGCCGAUCAAGUCGGGGGUGAAAGCCUGUGGCUCAACCACAGAAUUGCCUUCGAUACUGUUUGGCUUGAGACCGGAAGAGGUUAGUGGAACUGCGAGUGUAGAGGUGAAAUUCGUAGAUAUUCGCAAGAACACCAGUGGCGAAGGCGGCUGACUGGUCCGGUUUCUGACGCUGAGGCGCGAAAAGCGUGGGGAGCAAACAGG